CACGUGCUACAAUGGGUAUUACAGAGGGCUGCGAAGGUGCGAGCUGGAGCUAAACUAAAAAAGGUACUCUUAGUCCGGAUUGCAGUCUGCAACUCGACUGCAUGAAGUCGGAAUCGCAAGUAAUCGCAGGUCAGAAUACUGCGGUGAAUACGUUCCCGGGUCUUUUACACACCGCCCGUCACACCAUGGGAGUGGGUUGCUCCAGAAGUAGAUAGCUUAACGAAUGGGCGUUUACCACGUAGUGAUUCAUGACUGGGGUGAAGUCGUAAAAAGGUAGCCGUAGGGGAACAUGCGGCUCGAUCACCUCCUUA
rnacentral:rRNA from 1 species